rnacentral:rRNA from 1 species
ACGAACGCUGGCGGCGUGCUUAACACAUGCAAGUCGAACGGGUCUGCCCUGUUUUUUGCGGGGUGGGUCAGUGGCGAACGGGUGAGUAACACGUGAGUAACCUGCCCCUCACUUCUGGAUAACCGCUUGAAAGGGUGGCUAAUACGGGGUGUUCUGGCUGUGCCGCAUGGUGUGGCCGGGAAAGAUUCACUUUUGUGGUGUUUUGGUGGGGGAUGGGCUCGCGGCCUAUCAGCUUGUUGGUGGGGUGAUGGCCUGCCAAGGCUUUGACGGGUAGCCGGCCUGAGAGGGUGGGCGGUCACACUGGGACUGAGAUACGGCCCAGACUCCGGCGGGAGGCAGCAGUGGGGGGUAUUGCACAAUGGGCGGAAGCCUGAUGCAGCGACGUCGCGUGAGGGAUGGAGGCCUUCGGGUUGUGAACCUCUUUCGCCGGUGAAGAAGGUCCUGCUCUUUGUGGUGGGGUUGACGGUAGCCGGGUUAUGAAGCGCCGGCUAACUACGUG